rnacentral:piRNA from 1 species
UCAGAGAAGCCGAACUGGGAUUACCAUGC